CUGGUUGAUCCUGCCGGAGGCCAUUGCUAUCGGUGUCCGAUUUAGCCAUGCGAGUCGCACGUAUAACGUGGCAAACGGCUCAGUAACACGUGGCCAAGCUACCCUAUGGACGAUCAUAACCUCGGGAAACUGAGGGUAAUAAUCGAUAGUGCUCCCAUGCUGGAAUGGAGGGAGCAUGAAACGCUCCGGCGCCAUAGGAUGGGGCUGCGGCCGAUUAGGGAGAUGGGGGGGUAACGGGCCACCAUGGCGAUAAUCGGUACGGGUAGGGAGAGCUAGAGCCCGGAGACGGACUCUGAGACAAGAGUCCGGGCCCUACGGGGCGCAGCAGGGGCGAAACCUUUACACUGCACGACAGUGCGAUAGGGGGACCGCCAANAGGUGGGAGGGCAUANAGCCCUCGCUUUUGGGGAUGCGAAGGGGGGACACGAAUAAGGGGUGGGCAAGAGCGGUGGCAGCCGGCGCGAUAACAGCGGCAGCCCAAGUGGUGGCCGAUAUUAGUGGGGCUAAAGCGGCCGGAGCUGGGCGGAGAAGUCUUUCGGGAAAUCCGCUGGGCUAACCAGGGGGNCGUCCGGAGGAUACUGGCUCGCUUGGGAGCGGGAGACNNAAGGGGUACGUCCGGGGGUAGGAGUGAAAUCCCGUAAUCCUGGACGGACCAGCGGUUGGGAAAGCGCCUUUUGAGAACGGAUCC
rnacentral:rRNA from 1 species